CAGGUUGCAGCAUUAGGGAGGUUGAGAAUCACUGCUUUAUCUACUUUCUUCCAGCACCCAGGUCUCCUGCCCAGGGAUGUCAGUGUCCAGUGUUCUGGGCCCUUCCACAUCAAUCAUUAUGGACCUAAUUCCUCAACUGAGGUUUCUCUACCCAGAUAACUCCAGCCUUUAUCAAGGCCACUGGUCACCUACCCUUCUCCAGAGUGUAAAACAGACUGUAGACUUUUUAAAUUACCACACUAAGAGGAACUUCAGACAAAGAACAGAACAAAGAGAAGGGAGAAGAAGAAACAAGAAGGAAGUUACCAAAGAACUAUUAAUGACUAAGACCUCUCUACCAUAGUAUUGUUGGCAUAUGGUAAAAGCUCAGUGUGUGUACCUUGCUGGUACAUUGCUGAUGCCCUUUGGAGCUCACUAUUGAAACACAUACAAAUUUGGCUUCACAAACUUAAGAAACAUAACAUUGUUUACACUGCUCUUAAAA
rnacentral:lncRNA from 1 species